GCCCAGGUGGUGGAAUUGGUAGACACUGGGGACUUAAAAUCCCUUGGCUAUUAAACAGCCGUGCCGGUUCAAGUCCGGCCCUGGGUA
rnacentral:tRNA from 1 species